rnacentral:rRNA from 1 species
UACGUAGGGGGCAAGCGUUGUCCGGAAUCAUUGGGCGUAAAGAGCGUGUAGGCGGUUUGGUAAGUCGGCUGUGAAAGUCCAGGGCUCAACCCUGGGAUGCCGGUCGAUACUGCCGGACUAGAGUUCGGAAGAGGCGAGUGGAAUUCCCGGUGUAGCGGUGAAAUGCGCAGAUAUCGGGAGGAACACCUAUGGCGAAGGCAGCUCGCUGGGACGGUACUGACGCUGAGACGCGAAAGCGUGGGGAGCGAACAGG